GGGCUGAUUGUCACACCACGUUGCCACGCGCCCUUUCCCAGAUCUGGGGCUGCAGAAUUACUCACAGUGCUGGAAGUCUGCCUCCACCCCCGCAGCACCCCCUUGGCUGCGGUGACCCCCUAGUAUUCCCAAGGGCUGGGCCCUGUGCAUCUUCCCUCCUCAUCCCUGUGGGACUGACCCCACCAUAAUGGGACAAGGAGGAUGCUGGGUCCAAAUCUGAUCCAUGUGUGAACCAGCUGAUUUUGGAAGCCUUUCCAAGGGAAGUGACACUCCACAGCCUCCGCUCAGCCUUGGGCCUUCCUACUUAACAGCACUCUCAACUGGGGGCAACAGAGCAAAGACAAGGUUUCAAGAAUGAUGAUUCAGAAGCUUGAAGAGGACAUUUAUGGGAAAAAGCUGGCUCUAUCCCUAAUGCCACCAGGACCAGCUUAGACAAAUAACAGGGAGAGGAAGGCUCACGGGACCAGGAGGUCUGACUGGGGUGGGAUUAAGAGCUUAUGUGGGUGGACUUGGCUCUGAGGCAGUGAAAAGAGCUGGGAGCUGGUGGGUAGCGAGUGCUGAAAUCACACUAGGCACAGAACAGGCAGGCCCCAUUGGAUGGCCAGGAGGGGCAGAGCUGGAAUUUGGGACCAGCUCUUGACACAGCCCCAAUGCCUUUUUAAGUAUGUAGGCAGACACGUAAGCAGUGAGAAGCUAAGGGGGGUACUCUGCAAGGACAGAGGAGAGGAAGCAAAGCCGUGCUGCUCCCAGACCCAGCAGCCCACACAGUGCUCCCUGUCUGCUAAAGGCCCGGCCACGCACCCUACCUCCUUUCCCUAUUUCCUUUAAACUCAAGGCCCAAAUUCUGCCUGUCAGUCAUCCCAGGCGAGGGUUCGCAGGAGCUGCCCUAAAAAUCUUCCCUUGAUCUUACCUGGGCUGCUGCCUCCCACCCUUUGCUUGAGUCCUGGUUUGGCAUCCCCCUUAUGUUAGUGGGGGUGCAGGGAUAGGCAAGACACACCUUGAACUUAUAUGAAAAUCACUGAGUCCCCUUUUGGCACAUUCCUAUGAGUUAUACACACAAUUUAAUGCAAUGUGAAAGCACUCCAGCUGUGCGCUGGCCAAACGUGGUCUUGUGUACUGGGACUUGGGAGGUUUCUUGGACAUCUGAACGAAAGCUGGUGACAGUUCACACAUUUGCUUGGCCAAGGCUCCAGGGAAGGGAGAGUGGGUUGGCCAGGUGCCCUCAGGGGCCUUCUGCUGUCCCCAAGAUGGGGAGGGUCCCUGAGGUUCAAAGUUGCCGGUGAUUUGGCUCUCCUAUCAGGGGUCCUGGGCACCUCCAGAGGGGUUGGUGGCAGUUUCGCUUCCAGGGACUCCCAUCCUCAGGACCUCCUACUCCCUCCCACACUGCUUCCCCUCAGGCCCUAGGCGCCCAUCCCCUGCACCCCAACCCGCAGAAUCUACUUCCUAGGCUCAGGCUUCUCCCCAGGACGCCGCCCGCAGUUCCCGCUUUGGGAAGUGCCAAGCGCACGGCAACGUGAAGGGUUACUCCCCCUCCUACCCCGCCACCAGCCCCGUAGUCCACACCCAGCUCCAACUCCUCCUCCCCCGGGGGUGGGGUUGGGGGGAGCCGGCUCCGGAAACCCCCGCGCCCCUGCUGCUGCAGCCGCUGGCGUUUCGGAGAGGGCGGUCCGCUCUGGAGCGCGCCACUCAGGUCUGGAGCUCGAACUGCCGCCGGCGCCUGGGAAUCCCCCCCGCGAACUCCUCUGAGACCCCAUCGACUUCGGAGUCACAGCCCGGCCCCGAGCUCCCCGC